GGCCGUGUGGCCCAAUGGCAAGGCGCUUGACUACGAUCCACAUGUAAUCAAGAGAUUCCAGGUUCGACCCCUGGCACGGUCA
rnacentral:tRNA from 1 species